UCGAUGUUUCAAGGUUCCCCGAGUCCAGAAAUGUAAAAAUCUUGAGGGUCAUUUUUGACCAAUUGCCAUACUUUCUCUAUUACAUAUAACGGAGCGGGAAAAGUAAAAAACAAAUAAAUAAAUAAUUUUAUAUUUAACCUCUUUAAGAUAAAGAAAAUAUCAGUUUACAAUUAGUUAAAUUUUGUAAUUUAAAUAUUAAAUUGAAAGGAUAUUUAUUGUUCGUUAAUUUAUUGACUUUGGCACCAGUGUCGACAUUGUGAAAAAAUAAAUAAAUAAUAAUAAUAAACAAACAAUAAUGCUCUAUAAGGUUUUCAUUCAAAACAUGUUUAUUCCACUAAAGUAAAAUGUUUUGAAAGUUUCAAGGCCAAAAGAGAACUUAACAGAUUAUUUUGGCAGAACAUAAAUGAAUGUAUUGAAAGGUCUUUCUUGGAAAUUCUACUUUGGUUUUAUUAUUUACAUUUUUGAAUGUAUUAAAUUUUUCAUCAAUUUUAUUUUAUAUAAGUAAGGUUUAAAUUUACAUUUUUACGGAAUAUCGAAUAAUUUGAUUGUUGACUAUUAAUUGAAUAUCGAAUAAUUACAUUACGUUUAAUUGUUGAAUAACUAACUUGUCGAGCAUUCUAGAUUAUAGACGAAUAACAAAUUUAAUUCAAAUAAAUUUUAAAAUGACUCAUAAAGUAAAUUUAGUGAAAAUUAAAAACUGUAUCAUGAUUUUGUCUCCUUAAUAUUGUUAAUCAAUGUAAUAAAUCACUCUAACUUGGCGGUUCUCAACCUAUUUUUUCACUCUGUGUAUAGACUCAUAGCUCUAACGAACCCUGCUUGCUUAACCCCUCGUUCUCGUUCUCGUUCUAUAACUAGUGAAGGAAAUAUGAAAUCGGUAAUGGUACUAUUGUAACAUGCUUUGUGCUAGAAGUUAAUGUAUACCAAACAAGCUGAAAUGACUAUUGUAGAUGCUUUCCGUUCUUUGUCGAGAUUAGUAUUGAAAAGUAUCUAAAAUUGUCAGUGAAAAACUUAAUAUAUUGCGGAUGUUUCUUAAGCCGUCGAUGAAAUAUAAGGUAUCCAAAAAUUUACCGUGCAAUGAGAAAUUUAUAAUGACAUUAAAAUUAUACUUACAGCACCGUAUAUGAGACCUUUAAGUUGUUCAUUCGGUACUAGUUGGCCACACAGCAUUGCGUACAAAAUCCGUAAGUUGUAUGCAAUACCAUAUGGUCAAGUAAUACCAAAUUAAAGGUCUUGUAUACAUUGCCGUAAGUAUAACUUUAACGUCAUUACAAAUUUCUCACUUCACAGUAACUUUUCAUAAAAUGCUCUUGUCAACAAUAUUCAAUUUACUACAUAAUUCUUGAAGUAUACAUAUGGUUUACGAUACCUUUUCAUAUUCUCUUAUGAUAUAAUUAGCAUUUUUAUUUUACUUAUACGAGGAUUUUGUUGCGUAAGAUUCGAUACGUGUUAAGUUUUAUACAAACACAUUUACACUUUCGUCAAAUACAUCAUACAUUCUAAAUAUAAAGCAUUUGAGAGAUGAUUUCGAGCAAAGGUACAAAGGUAUAUUCAAAUAUAAGAGGUUCAUGUAAUAGUUAUUAGUGAUUCUUCUGUAUUUAGUAAAUCUAAUCAAAGAGAUCUGUUGAUUCUGACUUUAGGAAUCACCACUUUACAUUUUUAUAUUAAUUAAUCAAUAGAAAGUAUUAUUUUGAGUCACACAGAAAUCCAAUCUGUUUGUAAUAUAUAUUAAAUCAUUCAACAUGUUUAUUAAUUAAUAAAAUUCUAUUAAUUCUUUAAAUUGUGAUUUUAAAUAAUAAUUUUUUUCCCUCUAUUUAUUUAUUUUAUUUAUUUAUUUAAAAUUCUGUUGUAUCAAAAUUUGCAUGGAAAUUGACGAAUGUGCAGUUGGCAAUCCACUUUCAGAACACGAAGUCUCCGAAUAAAGGAAAAAACAUUAUUAAAGCCAAAGGAAAUGUUUAUUAAUAUGUUUUUGUUUUGCAUUUGUUUCUCUCUCCUUCCAUGUGCUGUGUGUGGAUGGAUGGAUGGAUCUACUUCAACAUCAUGGGUGAUCUCUUUCCACUACUAAUGUAUAUUUUACUUCCCCCGAACAUGUUGGAUGACGUGCCGUUAUUCUUGGAUGCCUACCUCAAAUGGUAUGGUUUUCUGGAAAUUUUUUGUUUUUAUAUAUUUUUCUUUCCCUUUCUGCCAACGUUGGAUUGGUAAUAUUUCGAUAAGUAGCUGAGAAUACACAAAAAGAUGAUGAUUUAUUGGAACCGCCUAAAAAGAGGCUUGCCGGAGCACUUGGAGGCCUUGUUGCGUACGGUUCCGAAGAUUCCGACGACGAAAAUAACUCCAUUGGGAGCCCCGUUCCCAUGAAACGGAAAUCGAACGACAUGCCAAAAGUGUCGAGGAAAAAUUUUAACUCUCAUAAUAACAAAUAUGCUGUAUAAAGAAAUAAUGUACAAAUGUUAAAAUGGGUUCAAAGAACUUCCUAUAAAUUGUUUCCUUUGUAGAGAGACGUUUAAAAUACUUGUUCAGUGACAUAAGAUUGUUUUUAGUCUAUAAAACACAUUUUACUUCUCAGGAAGACACCUUUUUAGCAUAAAGUUAUCAUGCUAAUCAAUUAAAAGUUAUUUACUUCUUAUUAAAAUGACCACAGGUAACGAGGCAGAAUUUUAUUAAAUUAAUUUCCAUCCCCAUUCUAGCGAUAUUAAUUCCUUUUUCGAUCUCCCCCACAGUCAAAUUUCUUACACAGAAAAUUUAAAAAAAAAAUUGUCUUAAAAUUAUAAAUUGUUUCCAUUUCAUCAGAUGCUCUCAGAAGGAAUUCGACAAAAUAGCUUUUAAUUUUAAGAUCCUAAAUGAUAAUAAAAAUAUAUAUUUUUAAUAUUUGUGUGAUGUUAUCUUAACAUUUAAACUUCCAUACUUUUAAGAUAUUUCUUUUGUGGAGAAUAACUGUAAGGUAAGAACAGCAAUAUAAAGUAUACAAAGGUAAUAUAUUUACUUUAAAU